UUCGUAGGUGACCUGCGGAAGGAUCAUUAC
rnacentral:rRNA from 1 species